rnacentral:rRNA from 1 species
GACGGAGGGUGCAAGCGUUAUCCGGAAUUAUUGGGUUUAAAGGGUACGUAGGCGGUUAUGUAAGUCAAUGGUUAAAAACAUCAGCUUAACUGAUGGGGUGCCGUUGAAACUGUAUAGCUAGAGAAUGAACGAGGUGAGUGGAAUUCUGCAUGUAGUGGUGAAAUACUUAGAUAUGCGGAGGAACGCCGAUAACGAAGGUAACUCACUAGGAUCAUUCUGGCGCUGAGGUACGAAAGCGUAGGGAGCAAACAGGAUUAGAGGCCCUGGUAGUCUACGCUGUAAACGAUGGUCACUAGAUGUAUAUGAAGAGUAUGUAUCCAAGCGAAAGCGUUAAGUGACCCACCUGAGGAGUACGCUCGCAAGAGUGAA